rnacentral:tRNA from 1 species
UCCCUGGUGGUCCAGUAGUUAAGACUUCAUCUUCCAAUGUAGGGGGUGCAGGUUCAAUCCCUGGCCAGGGAG